rnacentral:lncRNA from 1 species
AUGUGUGCUUAUGCAUGUGUCCCUGUGUACAGGAGUGUGUGUGUUUAUACAUGCAUCCCUGUGCACAGGGGUGUGCUUCUGUAUGCAUGUGUCCCCAUGUACAUGUGUGUGUGUUUAUGCAUGCAUCCCCAUGUACAGGUGUGUUUAUGCAUGCAUCCCCGUGUACAAUGUGUGUGUGUGUGUAUGCAUGCAUCCCCGUGUACAAUGUGUGUGUGUGUGUAUGCAUGCAUCCCCAUGUACAGGUGUGUUUAUGCAUGCAUCCCCAUGUACGAUGUGUGUGUGUGUGUGUUUAUGCAUGCAUCCCCGUGUACAGGUGUGUGUGUGUUUAUGCAUGCAUCCCCGUGUACAAUGUGUGUGUGUGUUUAUGCAUGCAUCCCCAUGUACGAUGUGUGUGUGUGUGUGUUUAUGCAUGCAUCCCCGUGUACAAUGUGUGUGUGUGUUUAUGCAUGCAUCCCCGUGUACAAUGUGUGUGUGUGUGUACGCAUGCAUCCCCGUGUACAGGUGUGUGUGUUUAUCAUGCAUCCCCAUGUACAUGUGUGUGUGUUUAUGCAUGCAUCCCCAUGUACAGGUGUGUUUAUGCAUGCAUCCCCAUGUACGAUGUGUGUGUGUGUGUUUAUGCAUGCAUCCCGUGUACAAUGUGUGUGUGUUUAUGCAUGCAUCCCGUGUACAAUGUGUGUGUGUGUACCAUGCAUCCCCGUGUACAGGUGUGUGUGUUUAUCAUGCAUCCCCAUGUACAUGUGUGUGUGUUUAUUCAUGUGUCCCCAUGUACAGGUGUGUGUGUUUAUGCAUGCAUCCCCAUGUACGAUGUGUGUGUGUGUGUGUGUGUGUUUAUGCAUGUGUCCCUGUGUACAGGGGUGUGUGUGUUUAUGCAUGUGUCCACA